rnacentral:rRNA from 1 species
UUUUGCAUAUCCAAUAGCGGAGGAAAAGAAACCAACAGGGAUUGCCUCAGUAACGGCGAGUGAAGCGGCAAAAGCUCAAAUUUGAAAUCUAGCACCUUCGGUGUUCGAGUUGUAAUUUGAAGAUGGUAACCUUGGGUUUGGCUCUUGUCUAUGUUCCUUGGAACAGGACGUCAUAGAGGGUGAGAAUCCCGUCUGAUGAGAUGCCCAUUCCUAUGUAAGGUGCUAUCGAAGAGUCGAGUUGUUUGGGAAUGCAGCUCUAAGUGGGUGGUAAAUUCCAUCUAAAGCUAAAUAUUGGCGAGAGACCGAUAGCGAACAAGUACAGUGAUGGAAAGAUGAAAAGAACUUUGAAAAGAGAGUGAAAAAGUACGUGAAAUUGUUGAAAGGGAAGGGCAUUAGAUCAGACUUGGUGUUUUACGAUUAUCUUCUCUUCUUGAGUUGUGCACUCGUAUUUCACUGGGCCAGCAUCGAUUCGGAUGGCAAGAUAAUGGCAGUUGAAUGUGGCUUCACUUCGGUGGAGUGUUAUAGCUUCUGCUGAUAUUGCCUGUCUGGAUCGAGGGCUGCGUCUUUUGACUAGGAUGCUGGCGUAAUGAUCUAAUGCCGCCCGUCUUAA